AUUGAACGCUGGCGGCAGGCUUAACACAUUCAAGUCGAGCGGGGGAAGGUAGCUUGCUACCGGACCUAGCGGCGGACGGGUGAGUAAUGCUUAGGAAUCUGCCUAUUAGUGGGGGACAACCUCUCGAAAGGGAUGCUAAUACCGCAUACGUCCUACGGGAGAAAGCAGGGGAUCUUCGGACCUUGCGCCAAUAGAUGAGCCUAAGUCGGAUUAGCUAGUUGGUGGGGUAAAGGCCUACCAAGGCGACGAUCUGUAGCGGGUCUGAGAGGAUGAUCCGCCACACUGGGACUGAGACACGGCCCAGACUCCUACGGGAGGCAGCAGUGGGGAAUAUUGGACAAUGGGGGGAACCCUGAUCCAGCCAUGCCGCGUGCGUGAAGAAGGCCUUAUGGUUGUAAAGCACUUUAAGCGAGGAGGAGGCUACUCUAGUUAAUACCUAGGGAUAGUGGACGUUACUCGCAGAAUAAGCACCGGCUAACUCUGUGCCAGCAGCCGCCGUAA
rnacentral:rRNA from 1 species